rnacentral:rRNA from 1 species
GGGUUGUGAGGUUAAGCGACUAAGCGUACACGGUGGAUGCCCUGGCAGUCAGAGGCGAUGAAGGACGUGCUAAUCUGCGAUAAGCGUCGGUAAGGUGAUAUGAACCGUUAUAACCGGCGAUUUCCGAAUGGGGAAACCCAGUGUGUUUCGACACACUAUCAUUAACUGAAUCCAUAGGUUAAUGAGGCGAACCGGGGGAACUGAAACAUCUAAGUACCCCGAGGAAAAGAAAUCAACCGAGAUUCCCCCAGUAGCGGCGAGCGAACGGGGAGGAGCCCAGAGCCUGAAUCAGUGUGUGUGUUAGUGGAAGCGUCUGGAAAGGCGCGCGAUACAGGGUGACAGCCCCGUACACAAAAAUGCACAUGCUGUGAGCUCGAUGAGUAGGGCGGGACACGUGGUAUCCUGUCUGAAUAUGGGGGGACCAUCCUCCAAGGCUAAAUACUCCUGACUGACCGAUAGUGAACCAGUACCGUGAGGGAAAGGCGAAAAGAACCCCGGCGAGGGGAGUGAAAAAGAACCUGAAACCGUGUACGUACAAGCAGUGGGAGCCUCUUUUAUGGGGUGACUGCGUACCUUUUGUAUAAUGGGUCAGCGACUUAUAUUCUGUAGCAAGGUUAACCGAAUAGGGGAGCCGAAGGGAAACCGAGUCUUAACUGGGCGUUAAGUUGCAGGGUAUAGACCCGAAACCCGGUGAUCUAGCCAUGGGCAGGUUGAAGGUUGGGUAACACUAACUGGAGGACCGAACCGACUAAUGUUGAAAAAUUAGCGGAUGACUUGUGGCUGGGGGUGAAAGGCCAAUCAAACCGGGAGAUAGCUGGUUCUCCCCGAAAGCUAUUUAGGUAGCGCCUCGUGAAUUCAUCUCCGGGGGUAGAGCACUGUUUCGGCAAGGGGGUCAUCCCGACUUACCAACCCGAUGCAAACUGCGAAUACCGGAGAAUGUUAUCACGGGAGACACACGGCGGGUGCUAACGUCCGUCGUGAAGAGGGAAACAACCCAGACCGCCAGCUAAGGUCCCAAAGUCAUGGUUAAGUGGGAAACGAUGUGGGAAGGCCCAGACAGCCAGGAUGUUGGCUUAGAAGCAGCCAUCAUUUAAAGAAAGCGUAAUAGCUCACUGGUCGAGUCGGCCUGCGCGGAAGAUGUAACGGGGCUAAACCAUGCACCGAAGCUGCGGCAGCGACGCUUAUGCGUUGUUGGGUAGGGGAGCGUUCUGUAAGCCUGUGAAGGUGUACUGUGAGGUAUGCUGGAGGUAUCAGAAGUGCGAAUGCUGACAUAAGUAACGAUAAAGCGGGUGAAAAGCCCGCUCGCCGGAAGACCAAGGGUUCCUGUCCAACGUUAAUCGGGGCAGGGUGAGUCGACCCCUAAGGCGAGGCCGAAAGGCGUAGUCGAUGGGAAACAGGUUAAUAUUCCUGUACUUGGUGUUACUGCGAAGGGGGGACGGAGAAGGCUAUGUUGGCCGGGCGACGGUUGUCCCGGUUUAAGCGUGUAGGCUGGUUUUCCAGGCAAAUCCGGAAAAUCAAGGCUGAGGCGUGAUGACGAGGCACUACGGUGCUGAAGCAACAAAUGCCCUGCUUCCAGGAAAAGCCUCUAAGCAUCAGGUAACAUCAAAUCGUACCCCAAACCGACACAGGUGGUCAGGUAGAGAAUACCAAGGCGCUUGAGAGAACUCGGGUGAAGGAACUAGGCAAAAUGGUGCCGUAACUUCGGGAGAAGGCACGCUGAUAUGUAGGUGAAGCGACUUGCUCGUGGAGCUGAAAUCAGUCGAAGAUACCAGCUGGCUGCAACUGUUUAUUAAAAACACAGCACUGUGCAAACACGAAAGUGGACGUAUACGGUGUGACGCCUGCCCGGUGCCGGAAGGUUAAUUGAUGGGGUUAGCGGUAACGCGAAGCUCUUGAUCGAAGCCCCGGUAAACGGCGGCCGUAACUAUAACGGUCCUAAGGUAGCGAAAUUCCUUGUCGGGUAAGUUCCGACCUGCACGAAUGGCGUAAUGAUGGCCAGGCUGUCUCCACCCGAGACUCAGUGAAAUUGAACUCGCUGUGAAGAUGCAGUGUACCCGCGGCAAGACGGAAAGACCCCGUGAACCUUUACUAUAGCUUGACACUGAACAUUGAGCCUUGAUGUGUAGGAUAGGUGGGAGGCUUUGAAGUGUGGACGCCAGUCUGCAUGGAGCCGACCUUGAAAUACCACCCUUUAAUGUUUGAUGUUCUAACGUUGGCCCCUGAUCGGGGUUGCGGACAGUGUCUGGUGGGUAGUUUGACUGGGGCGGUCUCCUCCUAAAGAGUAACGGAGGAGCACGAAGGUUGGCUAAUCCUGGUCGGACAUCAGGAGGUUAGUGCAAUGGCAUAAGCCAGCUUGACUGCGAGCGUGACGGCGCGAGCAGGUGCGAAAGCAGGUCAUAGUGAUCCGGUGGUUCUGAAUGGAAGGGCCAUCGCUCAACGGAUAAAAGGUACUCCGGGGAUAACAGGCUGAUACCGCCCAAGAGUUCAUAUCGACGGCGGUGUUUGGCACCUCGAUGUCGGCUCAUCACAUCCUGGGGCUGAAGUAGGUCCCAAGGGUAUGGCUGUUCGCCAUUUAAAGUGGUACGCGAGCUGGGUUUAGAACGUCGUGAGACAGUUCGGUCCCUAUCUGCCGUGGGCGCUGGAGAACUGAGGGGGGCUGCUCCUAGUACGAGAGGACCGGAGUGGACGCAUCACUGGUGUUCGGGUUGUCAUGCCAAUGGCACUGCCCGGUAGCUAAAUGCGGAAGAGAUAAGUGCUGAAAGCAUCUAAGCACGAAACUUGCCCCGAGAUGAGUUCUCCCUGAGACUU